rnacentral:rRNA from 1 species
UUAUUCACCUGUUUAUCAAAACAUGGCCUAUUGAGUAUAAUUUUAGGUCGAUCUGCUCCAUGAAAUAAAUUUAAAUAGCUGCAGUAUAUUGACUGUACAAAGGUAGCAUAAUAAAUUGUCUUUUAAUUGAAGAAUUGAAUGAAUGAAUUGAUGAAAUAACAACUGUCUCUAUUUUAUUUAAUGAAUUUAAAUUUUUAGUAAAAAUUCUGAAAUUUAAUUAUGGGACGAUAAGACCCUAUAGAAUUUUAUUUAAUAUAAUUAUUUAUUUAAAUUAUUUGUGAAUAUAUAAUUAAUUUAAAUUUGAUUGGGAGGAUUGGUAAAUAAAAAUAACUUUAUCUAAAAAUUAAUUUUGAUGAAAAGAUUUUUUUUUUGACUUAUAAUUUAUGAUUAAAAGAAUAAAUUACCUUAGGGAUAACAGCGUAAUAUCUUUUGAUAGACCACAUUGAUAAAGAUGUUUGCGACCUCGAUGUUGAAUUAAGAGAAAAGUUAAACGCAGGAGUUUAAAAUUUUAAGUCUGUUCGACUUUUAAAAUCUUACAUGAUUUGAGUUCAAAUCGACGUAAGUCAGAUUGGUUUCUAUCUAUA